rnacentral:rRNA from 1 species
CCUACGGGAGGCAGCAGUGGGGAAUCUUGCGCAAUGGGCGAAAGCCUGACGCAGCAACGCCGCGUGCGGGAAGAAGGCCUUCGGGUUGUAAACCGCUUUCAGCAGGAACGAAAAUGACGGUACCUGCAGAAGAAGGUGCGGCCAACUAUGUGCCAGCAGCCGCGGUGAUACAUAGGCACCAAGCGUUGUCCGGAUUUAUUGGGCGUAAAGAGCUCGUAGGCGGUCCAGUCAGUCGGGUGUGAAAACUCUGGGCUUAACCCAGAGCCUGCACCCGAUACUGCUGUGACUAGAGUUCGGUAGGGGAGCGGGGAAUUCCUGGUGUAGCGGUGAAAUGCGCAGAUAUCAGGAGGAACACCGAUGGCGAAGGCACCGCUCUGGGCCGAAACUGACGCUGAGGAGCGAAAGCAUGGGUAGCAAACAGGAUUAGAUACCCUGGUAGUCCAUGCCGUAAACGUUGGGCACUAGGUGUGGGUUCCAAUCAACGGAAUCCGCGCCGUCGCUAACGCAUUAAGUGCCCCGCCUGGGGNGUACGGUCGCGAGACAAACUACAANAGAGUAGACGCGNGAGACGNGCCGACGGACGACGACGAGGGAGGUAGG